CCUACGGGAGGCAGCAGUGAGGAAUAUUGGUCAAUGGACGGAAGUCUGAACCAGCCAUGCCGCGUGCAGGAAGACGGCUCUAUGAGUUGUAAACUGCUUUUGUACAAGGGUAAACCUGAAUACGUGUAUUCAGCUGCAAGUACUGUACGAAUAAGGCUCGGCUAACUCCGUGCCAGCAGCCGAGGUAAUACGGAGGAUCCAAGCGUUAUCCGGAUUUAUUGGGUUUAAAGGGUGCGUAGGCGGAUUGAUAAGUUAGAGGUGAAAUGUCCGAGCUUAACUCGGGAACUGCCUCUAAUACUGGUGAUCUAGAGGGUAGAUGCGGUAGGCGGAAUGUAAGGUGUAGCGGUGAAAUGCUUAGAGAU
rnacentral:rRNA from 1 species